AGUGAACGCUGGCGGUAGGCCUAACACAUGCAAGUCGAACGGCAGCACAGGAGAGCUUGCUCUCUGGGUGGCGAGUGGCGGACGGGUGAGGAAUACAUCGGAAUCUACUUUUUCGUGGGGGAUAACGUAGGGAAACUCACGCUAAUACCGCAUACGACCUACGGGUGAAAGCAGGGGAUCUUCGGACCUUGCGCGAUUGAAUGAGCCGAUGUCGGAUUAGCUAGUUGGCGGGGUAAAGGCCCACCAAGGCGACGAUCCGUAGCUGGUCGGAGAGGAUGAUCAGCCACACUGGAACUGAGGCACGGUCCAGACUCCUACGGGAGGCAGCAGUGGGGAAUAUUGAACAAUGGGCGCAAGCCUGAUCCAGCCAUACCGCGUGGGUGAAGAAGGCCUUCGGGUUGUAAAGCCCUUUUGUUGGGAAAGAAAUCCAGCUGGUUAAUACCCGGUUGGGAUGACGGUACCCAAAGAAUAAGCACCGGCUAACUUCGUGCCAGCAGCCGCCGUAA
rnacentral:rRNA from 1 species